UCGAGUAGGCCCCAAGCAAGGAAGGAGGAAGCAGGCAGCAGACCCUCUGCCCAGACCAGACCAUCCAGAACAGCUAUUGCUAGGAUGAAGAAGGGUUGUGACCAAUGAGUUCCCAACCUGCUGCUAAAACCCACAUGAUGCAGUGUGUAGCUAAUCAGAAUCUUCCCAAGCCUGACUAUGCUCACACCCACUUGAGCUUGUUGCUCACCUGCCUGUUUCUCUGCCUAUGCACUUGGGCCGUUAUUGGGUUGGGCAUGGGAAGAGGAUGAGCAGUGAAGGGAGCAUUGUACACAGCCAGAGAGCUCAACACAGACGAGCGGGCAGCAACAGUCAGAUCAGUUUGGUGUCCCCUGCCUCUGUGCCUUCAUGUUUCUCUCUGUCUGUAAAAGUAAGAAAAUAUGUUUGUGUGUCCCUACUUCUUGUGCCUGUUGAGUUUGUGAGAGUAUUUUUGUGUAUAUUUGUGUAUGAAGUGGGGGAAAUGUAAAUGUAGUAAAAUUGGUGAAUGUUUUCCAGAGUGCCUUAUAUGUAUAUGCAUAAUUCAGUCACCAAAUGCUGCUUUAUACUGUAUGUCUUGACUUUGGCUUGGUUGACUUAUUUGAAUUAUCCACCCUGCAUUUGUCUUAAAUUCUCUGCCAUGGAUUCCCUGAUUGUUCAUGGGAUUAGUCUCAGUCUGACAGUUCCCCAUCUGGAAAAUGUUUUUCUUUUUCUAGAAUGCCUUCCAGUUGCUUAAAUAAAAUUAAAUUGAAUGCU